ACACUUACCAGGCAGGGGAGAUACCGUGAUAAGGAAGGUGUUUUUCCCAGGCCGAGGCUUAUUCAAAUGUGCUGACCCCUGCGAUUUUCAUGAAUGUAGGAAACUCAACUAUAUAAUUAUGGCAGUGGAGGCCUUCAUUCACGUUCUUCCA
rnacentral:snRNA from 1 species